rnacentral:rRNA from 1 species
UGGGGAAUUUUGGACAAUGGGCGGAAGCCUGAUCCAGCAAUGCCGCGUGUGUGAAGAAGGCCUUCGGGUUGUAAAGCACUUUUGUCCGGAAAGAAAUCCUUGGCUCUAAUACAGUCGGGGGAUGACGGUACCGGAAGAAUAAGCACCGGCUAACUACGUGCCAGCAGCCGCGGUAAUACGUAGGGUGCAAGCGUUAAUCGGAAUUACUGGGCGUAAAGCGUGCGCAGGCGGUUUGCUAAGACCGAUGUGAAAUCCCCGGGCUCAACCUGGGAACUGCAUUGGUGACUGGCAGGCUAGAGUAUGGCAGAGGGGGGUAGAAUUCCACGUGUAGCAGUGAAAUGCGUAGAGAUGUGGAGGAAUACCGAUGGCGAAGGCAGCCCCCUGGGCCAAUACUGACGCUCAUGCACGAAAGCGUGGGGAGCAAACAGGAUUAGAUACCCUGGUAGUCCACGCCCUAAACGAUGUCAACUAGUUGUUGGGGAUUCAUUCCUUAGUAACGUAGCUAACGCGUGAAGUUGACCGCCUGGGGAGUACGGUCGCAAGAUUAAAACUUAAAGGAAUUGACGGGGUCAUAGCUGUUUCCU